UCGAGAAUUUUUCUCAAUGGGGGAAACCCUGAAGGAGCGACGCCGCGUGGAGGAUGAAGGUCUUCGGGUUGUAAACUCCUGUCAUUUGGGAACAAGUGCCGGUACCUAACUGCUACCGGCUUGAUAGUACCAGAAGAGGAAGGGACGGCUAACUCUGUGCCAGCAGCCGCGGUAAUACAGAGGUCUCAAGCGUUGUUCGGAUUCAUUGGGCGUAAAGGGUGUGUAGGUGGCGCGCUAAGUCGGGUGUGAAAUUUCGGAGCUUAACUCCGAAACUGCAUUCGAUACUGGCGUGCUUGAGGACUGGAGAGGAGACUGGAAUUCAUGGUGUAGCAGUGAAAUGCGUAGAGAUCAUGAGGAAGACCAGUGGCGAAGGCGGGUCUCUGGACAGUUCCUGACACUGAGACACGAAGGCCAGGGGAGCAAACG
rnacentral:rRNA from 1 species